rnacentral:rRNA from 1 species
GACGAACGCUGGCUGCGUGCCUAAUACAUGCAAGUAGGACGCAGUUGCGAACGGGUGCGUAACGCGUAGGUAACUACUUAUUAGCGGGGGUUAACUAUUGGAAACGAUAGCUAAUACCUCAUACUAGUAGAUGGACCUGCGUUGUAUUAGUUAGUAGGUAGGGUAAUGGCCUACCUAGUGAACUCUACAUAGCCGGCCUGAGAGGAUGAUCGGACACGCUGUGACUGAGACACUGCCCAGACUCCUACAGUCAGCAGCAGUAGGGAGUCUUCGACGAUGAGCGGAACCCUGACCGAGCAACGCCGCGUGUGUGUAGAAGUUUUUCGGGUCGUAAAGCUCUGUUGUUAAGGAAGCGGUACUUAACCAGAAAGGGACGGCUAACUACGUGCCAGCAGCCGCGGUAAUUC